rnacentral:rRNA from 1 species
GUCUUACUGAAUUUAAAAUAAUAAGUUUGUUCUGCCCAUUGAAUUAAAUAUUUUAAAAGGCUGCUGUAAGUUAACUGUGCAACGGUAGCAUAAUCAAUAGUUUUUUAAAUGGAAACGUGAAUGAAAGAAUUGAUAAAAUAUUAGUUGUCUCAAAUUUAAAUAAUUGAAUUUAUAUUUAAAGUUAAAAUUCUUUAAUUAAUUUAUUAGACGAUAAGACCCUAAGAAUUUUAUAAUUUAUUUAUUAUUUAUUAAAUUAGUUUAAUUUAAAAUUUAUAAUUUAAUUAUUUUAUUGGGAGGGUAAUUAAAAAUUUAAACUUUAAUUAAAUUUAAACUUUGAUAAAUGAGUUUAAGGAUUAUUAUAAUAGUUAUUAGAAUAAAUUACCUUAGGGAUAACAGCGUAAUAAUUUUGGAAAGUUCAUAUUGAUAAAAAUGGUUGCGACCUCGAUGUUGAAUUAAAAUAAAAAUUAAAUGGAGAAGUUAACGGUUUGUAUCUGUUCUACUAUCAAAGUUUUACA